GACGUAGGGCGCGAGCGUUGUCCGGAUUUAUUGGGCGUAAAGAGCUCGUAGGCGGCUUGUUGCGUCGACUGUGAAAACCCGCGGCUUAACUGCGGGCUUGCAGUUGAUACGGGCAGGCUAGAGUUCGGUAGGGGAGACUGGAAUUCCUGGUGUAGCGGUGAAAUGCGCAGAUAUCUGGAGGAAUACCGGUGGCGAAGGCGGCAUCCUGGACCAACACUGACACUGAAUCGCGAAAGCUAGGGGAGCAAACGGG
rnacentral:rRNA from 1 species